AGAGUUUGAUCAUGGCUCAGGACGAACGCUGGCGGCAUGCCUAAUACAUGCAAGUCGAACGAGCUGACAGAGUGCUUGCACUCUCGACGCGAGUGGCGGACGGGUGAGUAACACGUGGGAAACCUACCUGUAAGUAGGGGAUAACAUUCGGAAACGGAUGCUAAUACCCUAUAGGUUUCAGUUCCGCAUGGAACUGAAAGGAAAGACGGCUUUGCUGUCGCUUACAGAUGGUCCCGCGGCGCAUUAGCUAGUUGGUGGGAUAAAAGCUCACCAAGGCUGUGAUGCGUAGCCGACCUGAGAGGGUAACCGGCCACACUGGGACUGAGACACGGCCCAGACUCCUACGGGAGGCAGCAGUAGGGAAUCUUCCGCAAUGGACGAAAGUCUGACGGAGCAAUGCCGCGUGAAUGAAGAAGGUCUUCGGAUCGUAAAAUUCUGUUGUUAGAGAAGAACAAGGAGUAGGUAACUACUACUCCCUUGACGGUAUCUAACCAGAAAGCCACGGCUAACUACGUGCCAGCAGCCGCGGUAAUACGUAGGUGGCAAGCGUUGUCCGGAUUUAUUGGGCGUAAAGGGAGCGCAGGCGGUGACUUAAGUCUGAUGUGAAAGCCCACGGCUCAACCGUGGAAGGUCAUUGGAAACUGGGUCACUUGAAUAUAGAAGAGGAAAGUGGAAUUCCAUGUGUAGCGGUGAAAUGCGUAGAUAUAUGGAGGAACACCAGUGGCGAAGGCGACCUUCUGGUCUAUUAUUGACGCUGAGGCUCGAAAGCAUGGGUAGCAAACAGGAUUAGAUACCCUGGUAGUCC
rnacentral:rRNA from 1 species